AUUUAUGCCCGUGUGAAAGAGGAAGUAAUGACUACAAAACUUCAUGUUUGUAGUCACGCUGAUGUGCUAAAAAUCUAAAUAUGAAUGGGAUUAUACUUUAUAGAUAUUUUCUUCAUAAGAAUUUCUAGCGGUGCUAAUAAUUGAAGCCAGUGAACUAAUGAAACCAAUGAAGGAUCAAAAUUAUAAACAAUGCCGAUUUUUUAAGCCUUCUAUGCUCAUAUUUACCACGGGGGCUAAUAAUUCUGAUCACAACUCUAUCAUUUGGGUACUGUUAUGUACGUUUGAGAUACUAAUAUGCACCCUUAAGGGGUAAAUAAAGUACAAAGGUGUACAUUUUUAAAAGGUACCACCCCAGAGACCUUUAUUUUUCUGACAGGUGUAUAAAAAUUAUAAAAAAAACUACUGUUAAACUUAAGAAGUGAAAUAUUUUUUGUGACUGUAAAUUAUAAAUGCAGUCACUUAACCUCAAUGUACCACAUAUGUUCCUAUAAAUCUGUAUUUCCCUUUAUUCCUUUGAUGUAAACAAAAAGCACACACAACCGGUUUCCUUUAAUUAGUUGAAUAAUGCAAAUGCAAUAAACGGGGCUUUACAAAAGUGCACAAGUUCCUUAUGUGCCUUUUUUGGGUAACUGUCUGCUGCAUCCUGUACUGGUCACAGAAGUGGAAGUUAUUGCGGUUUCAGACUGAGCACUUGCUGUCCUGAGGAAGGAACACACAUUUGACUAGAUUGUAUCCUCUCUAAAGAUGUGCUGCGCAUCAAUUCAUCUCCUCAUUGGUGCCUUAUUUGUCUUUGCUGUUGAAAAUGAGGCAACAACAACGAUAAGCAGCACAAAAAUCAUCACUGCUCCAGUUUCAAUGUCUGUUGACAACACCACCCUAAUCAAUAAAACACCAGAGGGCUUUCUAGACAACUUUACCACUCCAAACUCCACGGUCGACCUGUCAAACACAACGGAUGGGAAUACUACGUCAGAUGGACAAUCAGAAUCACCUACUCCUCCACCCUCAGAACAUCCGCAGACCAAGUAUUACACCACAGAAAAACCUCUGAAAACUGUUGCGCAAUCAAGCACAAAAAAUAUGAUCAAAAGCACAACAAGCAAAAAAACCAAAUCAGCUGAUGUUAAACAAGAAAUCCAACAGAAUUUAUCCAGCACUCAGGCCACAGUGAACACAAAGGAUCAAACGGAUGGGCUGGCCGCAGUGGAUCUGACUGAUGGAGAACUGACGAUCUCCACCAAAACCUCAAUGGAAUCCCUAGAUGAUGUUCUCAACGAAAACAACUGCAACAAUACAGGAGCUGAAGAUCUCUGAACCAGACUGAUGGAAACUGGAAGCAAAAGCUGAACUAAGUUGUAAACUAUGCAAGUCAUUGUUAGAACAAUGCUGUUUGCAUAUAUAUACAGUACUAAGAAAAGUCUAACAGGGCUCAAUGUACUGUAUUGAUGUCUUUCUUCAUAUAUUUUUUUCUUGGGUUUUACUCACUGAAUUUCUUUGUGUUGUUUAAGGGUUAAAUGAAAUAUACUGUGCAUAAACUUAACGGAGAAACUUAAUGGAGUUAGUACUUUUAUAUUUAGAAUAAUAUUACCUAUUAUGUUUGAUUUUAAUAUUGUAACUAUUUUCAACCUAAUUUAUGAAAAUCUAAUCUAAUCUUAAAUGGAUAAUUUUGUAAAUUUUCAACCAGCUUUGUAUUGUUGUCGACUGUAUAUGUAAAUGAACAAUGUGUACUCUUUCUCCGUGUUACUGGACCCAGAUAUCCCCAUUUAUUUUCCAAGCAAAAGGAUGCUUGGAAGUUGGAUCAACAGAGCAUAUAUAUCAAUAUAUAAAAUAUACUAAAAUCGAAAGUGUAAAGCAAAAGGAUGCUUGGAAGUUGGAUCAACAGAGCAUAUAUAUCAAUAUAAUAAAAUAUCUAAAAAUCGUAAAGUGUAUUAUGAGUGUUGACGUUUAUGACAAAAGGGAUAUUUGUACAUUGUACAUUGAAUACAUUUUUUAUUAAAUUAGAUAUGUGUAAAGUUAUCUCAUCAGAGUGCUAUAGAGCUCAGGGUUCCUCUGUUGUAUGUAUACUGUAUGUAUGUUAUAAUGCCUAUAACUGUUAACUGUAAAACUUAGACAUUCAAAUAAUACAACUUUCACCACUUUACGUUUUUUUUUUUAAUUCUAAGUUUUAUAUAUUUUUUUAUUUAUUUUAAUCUCUUUGUAGUGCUUUCACUGUUGCAAAUGUCAAUUGGACAUUAUGUUUUGGGUUAAAGUUUUAUUCAUUUGUUUUAAUAUGUGUUUUCUUAAACUGUAAUUUACACAGUCUUAAGAAGGAUAUUGGCCUAUUGUUGGGUGCAACAUGGGUUUAUAAUUAGUUGCUUCUACCUUCUGAUAUCAUACUGUCAACUAAUACAAUAAAAAUGUAUCUUGAUUAUAACUAUCAUUUAUCAUUACUUGUAGUUUACAUAAAUCUCUUUCUGGGAUAACAGUCUUGGUUUUUAAAUAAACAUGUACUUUAAGUUUAAGACUUCUAUAUCAAAUUGCAGUUUCUAAUAUUAAAAGUCAUGUUCUGGCUGCCCAUUUAACUCAACUACAGUAUAACAGUAACUGCAAAAUCAAUUUGUCAGGUGCAUGUUCUGUCUGUAAUAAAGCAAGUUUUCUGUAUGAGAACUGUACUGUAUUAGAAAUUGCUUUAAGUAACCAAGCAGAUGCCAGACUAGAUGGUUCCGUAACAAGCCUUC
rnacentral:lncRNA from 1 species